rnacentral:rRNA from 1 species
UUGGAGGGCAAGUCUGGUGCCAGCAGCCGCGGUAAUUCCAGCUCCAAUAGCGUAUAUUAAAGUUGUUGCAGUUAAAAAGCUCGUAGUUGAAUUUCGGGAUCAAUUUAUCGGUCGUGCCUCUGGUAUGCACUGAUAUUAUUGAUUUCUACCUUCUGACGAACCAUGAUGUCAUUUAUUUGGUGUCAUGGGGAAUCAGGACUGUUACUUUGAAAAAAUUUGAGUGUUUAAAGCAAGCACACGCUUGAAUACAUUAGCAUGGAAUAAUGAAAUAGGGCGUUUGACCCUAUUUUGUUGGUUUCUAGGAUCGACGUAAUGAUUAAUAGGGAUAGUUGGGGGCAUUAGUAUUCAAUUGUCAGAGGUGAAAUUCUUGGAUUUAUUGAAGACUAACUACUGCGAAAGCAUUUGCCAAGGAUGUUUUCAUUAAUCAAGAACGAAAGUUAGGGGAUCGAAGACGAUCAGAUACCGUCGUAGUCUUAACCAUAAACUAUGCCGACUAGGGAUCGGAUGAUGUUAAUUUUUUAAUGACUCAUUCGGCGCCUUACGGGAAAC